rnacentral:rRNA from 1 species
GAUGAACGCUGGCGGCGUGCCUAAUACAUGCGAGUCGAGCGAACAGACGAGGAGCUUGCUCCUCUGACGUUAGCGGCGGACGGGUGAGUAACACGUGGAUAACCUACCUAUAAGACUGGGAUAACUUCGGGAAACCGGAGCUAAUACCGGAUAAUAUAUUGAACCGCAUGGUUCAAUAGUGAAAGACGGUUUUGCUGUCACUUAUAGCUGGAUCCGCGCUGCAUUAGCUAGUUGGUAAGGUAACGGCUUACCAAGGCAACGAUGCGUAGCCGACCUGAGAGGGUGAUCGGCCACACUGGAACUGAGACACGGUCCAGACUCCGACGGGAGGCAGCAGUAGGGAAUCUUCCGCAAUGGGGGAAAGCCUGACGGAGCAACGCCGCGUGAGGGAUGAAGGUCUUCGGAUCGUAAAACUCUGUUAUUAGUGAAGAACAAAUGUGUAAGUAACUAUGCACGUCUUGACGGUACCUAAUCAGAAAGCCACGGCUAACUACGUG